rnacentral:lncRNA from 10 species
UGAACAUACUAAAUACCACGAAACGGUCCCGAGGUCUGGCUGAACUUCCAUACAGACUUACUCAGGCCGUCUGCUCUUGGCUACAAUACCAGGCACAAACCUCUCCCCCAACUCCCAAGAUACCAGCCGGGCUGUCAGCUAAGUUCCAUAUCAGCCUCUAGAGUAUGCAGAGACUUCCCAUGGUAUAUGCUGCAUUUUCUUUGAUGUGGCCACAGAUACCCCCAAAUACCUUGGCAAAUAGACCAAAUAUCCUUUGCAAAUAAUACCCCAAAUACCCGAGAACAGAGUGCUCCCCUCAACUUAUUGAACACAUCUCCUCCCAGACUGGAACCCAGGAAGACCCGUGCUCAUCUGAAUGCCCACCUCCCCCUUUCCCACCAUCCUUGGAAAUAAAAGAGCUGCCUCCCCCUCCCCCUUCCUGCCUUGCAGGGAUCUCCCAUACACAAAACUCUGUGAUCUAAUCCUCCAGGCUUCUAGAAAAUCCCCUCUCCUUAGCACUUGGCUUUUGAGCCUAUUGUCAUGUUUGGGAUUCACGAAAAUUUAAUUCGACAGUGAAACCUCAGCAAUGGCAGAUUUGAGCUCCUUCCCUGAAGCAUUGAAACCCCCUGAAUGGGAAGCCCCAGAGCAACAAGAUGUAUAGGAGAGAGAAACCCUCCUGAAGAAGAGAAACCCUCCUGAAACUCUUUCGAACAUCAUCUCCAUGCCACACAUUUUGUGCCAAAGCUCAGCAUUGUACACAGAGCCUUGGAACACACGUGCUCCAUUCUGGGUCUCUACUCAUCACUCUCUCAGCAUUUGGAGAGCAAGCUGUUUAUGUCAGGACAAAGGCCCAGCUGCCCCUGUCCCAGAGCUGUGAGGAAGCAGAAAGAAAGAGAACCUAGUAUGUUCUAGGAACUGUGCCAAAUGGUCUACACAAGCCACAUAUUCAAUUCUUACUAGAUAUCGAGACCAGCACUAUCCAAUAGAACUUUCUGUGAUGAUGAAAAUGUUCUCUAUAUAUGCUAAUACUGCAACUACUAGCCCCAUUUUGCUAUUGAACACUUGAAAUGUGGCUAGUACAACUAGGAAACUGAAUAUUUCAUUUUAUUUACAUUUAAUGAAUUUAGGUGUAAAUGUAAAUAGCCAUGUACAGCUAGUAGCUGUCAUAUUGGAAGAGCAGAUCUAUUUCAACCUCCUCAAUUCUUAGGUGAGGAAACAAAGUGACUUUCUCAGCAAA